rnacentral:rRNA from 1 species
GACGAACGCUGGCGGCGUGCCUAAUACAUGCAAGUAGAACGCUGAAGAGAGGAGCUUGCUCUUCUUGGAUGAGUUGCGAACGGGUGAGUAACGCGUAGGUAACCUGCCUUGUAGCGGGGGAUAACUAUUGGAAACGAUAGCUAAUACCGCAUAACAAUGGAUGACACAUGUCAUUUAUUUGAAAGGGGCAAUUGCUCCACUACAAGAUGGACCUGCGUUGUAUUAGCUAGUAGGUGAGGUAACGGCUCACCUAGGCGACGAUACAUAGCCGACCUGAGAGGGUGAUCGGCCACACUGGGACUGAGACACGGCCCAGACUCCUACGGGAGGCAGCAGUAGGGAAUCUUCGGCAAUGGGGGCAACCCUGACCGAGCAACGCCGCGUGAGUGAAGAAGGUUUUCGGAUCGUAAAGCUCUGUUGUAAGUCAAGAACGAGUGUGAGAGUGGAAAGUUCACACUGUGACGGUAGCUUAACAGAAAGGGACGGCUAACUACGUG